rnacentral:rRNA from 1 species
UGUAUCGGAACGUACCUUUCAGUGGGGGAUAACGUAGCGAAAGUUACGCUAAUACCGCAUAUUCUGUGAGCAGGAAAGCAGGGGAUCGCAAGACCUUGCGCUGAUUGAGCGGCCGAUAUCAGAUUAGCUAGUUGGUGGGGUAAAGGCCUACCAAGGCGACGAUCUGUAGCGGGUCUGAGAGGAUGAUCCGCCACACUGGAACUGAGACACGGUCCAGACUCCUACGGGAGGCAGCAGUGGGGAAUUUUGGACAAUGGGGGCAACCCUGAUCCAGCCAUGCCGCGUGAGUGAAGAAGGCCUUCGGGUCGUAAAGCUCUUUCGGCCGGGAAGAAAUCGCAUAGGCUAAUACCCUGUGUGGAUGACGGUACCGGAAUAAGAAGCACCGGCUAACUACGUG